CAGCCCCUCGAGUGGUGGGGAUGAUUAUUUGGCCUAAAGCGUCCGUAGCCGGCCGGGUAAGUUUCCCGUUAAAUCCAGCGUCUCAAGCGUUGGACUGCGGGAAAUACUGCCUGGCUAGAGAGUGGGAGAGGUCAGCGGUAUUCUGGGGGUAGGGGCGAAAUCCUUUGAUCCCCGGAGGACCACCAGUGGCGAAGGCUGCUGACUAGAACACGUCUGACGGUCAGGGACGAAAGCUGGGGUAGCGAACCGGAUUAGAUACCCGAGUAGUCC
rnacentral:rRNA from 1 species